GAUGAACGCUGGCGGCGUGCCUAAUACAUGCAAGUCGAGCGAACUGAUUAGAAGCUUGCUUCUAUGACGUUAGCGGCGGACGGGGGAGUAACACGUGGGCAACCUGCCUGUAAGACUGGGAUAGCUUCGGGAAACCGAAGCUAAUACCGGAUAGGAUCUUCUCCUUCAUGGGAGAUGAUUGAAAGAUGGUUUCGGCUAUCACUUACAGAUGGGCCAGCGGUGCAUUAGCUAGUUGGUGAGGUAACGGCUCACCAAGGCAACGAUGCAUAGCCGACCUGAGAGGGUGAUCGGCAACACUGGGACUGAGACACGGCCCAGACUCCUACGGGAGGCAGCAGUAGGGAAUCUUCCGCAAUGGACGAAAGUCUGACGGAGCAACGCCGCGUGAGUGAUGAAGGCUUUCGGGUCGUAAAACUCUGUUGUUAGGGAAGAACAAGUACGAGAGUAACUGCUCGUACCUUGACGGUACCUAACCAGAAAGCCACGGCUAACUACGUGCCAGCAGCCGCCGUAAGAC
rnacentral:rRNA from 1 species